UACGUAGGGUGCAAGCGUUAAUCGGAAUUACUGGGCGUAAAGCGUGCGCAGGCGGCUUUGCAAGACAGAUGUGAAAUCCCCGGGCUUAACCUGGGAACUGCAUUUGUGACUGCAUGGCUGGAGUGCGGCAGAGGGGGAUGGAAUUCCGCGUGUAGCAGUGAAAUGCGUAGAUAUCUGGAGGAACACCGGUGGCGAAGGCGGCAUCCUGGACCAAUAUUGACGCUGAGGAGCGAAAGCCAGGGGAGCAAACGGG
rnacentral:rRNA from 1 species